GAUGAACGCUGGCGGCGUGCCUAAUACAUGCAAGUCGAGCGAACGGACGAGAAGCUUGCUUCUCUGAUGUUAGCGGCGGACGGGUGAGUAACACGUGGAUAACCUACCUAUAAGACUGGGAUAACUUCGGGAAACCGGAGCUAAUACCGGAUAAUAUUUUGAACCGCAUGGUUCAAAAGUAAAAGACGGUCCCGCUGUCACUUAUAGAUGGAUCCGCGCUGCAUUAGCUAGUUGGUAAGGUAACGGCUUACCAAGGCAACGAUGCAUAGCCGACCUGAGAGGGUGAUCGGCCACACUGGAACUGAGACACGGUCCAGACUACUACGGGAGGCAGCAGUAGGGAAUCUUCCGCAAUGGGCGAAAGCCUGACGGAGCAACGCCGCGUGAGUGAUGAAGGUCUUCGGAUCGUAAAACUCUGUUAUUAGGGAAGAACAUAUGUGUAAGUAACUGUGCACAUCUUGACGGUACCUAAUCAGAAAGCCACGGCUAACUACGU
rnacentral:rRNA from 1 species